UACGAAGGGGGCUAGCGUUGCUCGGAAUCACUGGGCGUAAAGCGCACGUAGGCGGAUUGUUAAGUCAGGGGUGAAAUCCUGGAGCUCAACUCCAGAACUGCCUUUGAUACUGGCGAUCUUGAGUCCGAGAGAGGUGAGUGGAACUGCGAGUGUAGAGGUGAAAUUCGUAGAUAUUCGCAAGAACACCAGUGGCGAAGGCGGCUCACUGGCCCGGUACUGACGCUGAGGUGCGAAAGCGUGGGAGCAACAGG
rnacentral:rRNA from 1 species